GCCAGUAUUGCUUAGUGGUAGAGCAUCGACCUAUUAACCAGAAGAUCCUGGUUCGAUUCCUGGUCAGGGCA
rnacentral:tRNA from 1 species